AUGGUAAAACCGCGAAUGGCUCAUUAAAUCAGCUAUGGUUCCUUAGAUCUUAUAUCCAUACUUGGAUAACUGUGGUAAUUCUAGAGCUAAUACAUGCGUUAAAGCCCCGACUUAGCAGAAGGGUGGCUUUAUUAGAACAAAACCUACCGGCUUCGGCUGUUGGUUUGGUGACUCUGGAUAACUUUUCUGAUCGCACGGCCAAGCGCCAGCGACGUAUCUUUCAAAUGUCUGCCCUAUCAAGUAUCGACGGUAAAUUAUAAGUCUACCGUGCUUUUGACGGGUAACGGGGAAUCAGGGUUCGAUUCCGGAGAGGGAGCCUUAGAAAUGGCUACCACAUCUAAGGAAGGCAGCAGGCGCGCAAAUUACCCACUCUCAGCUAGAGGAGGUAGUGACGAAAAAUAACGAUGCGGGACUCAUUUGAGGCUCCGCAAUUGGAAUGAGAACAAUUUAAAUCCUUUAACGAGGAACAAUUGGAGGGCAAGUCUGGUGCCAGCAGCCGCGGUAACUCCAGCUCCAAUAGCGUAUAU
rnacentral:rRNA from 2 species